rnacentral:tRNA from 1 species
CGGAGUGUGGCGCAGCCUGGUAGCGCUACUGCCCUGGGAGCAGAAGGUCCGAGGUUCGAAUCCUCGCACUCCGACCA